CCACAAGCUCCUGUGUGCGUGUGUCCAAGUGUGCUCAGCAUACACAGGGCGCUGAUCUGACCAAGUCAGCUUUAUUUUAUAGCUCAGACUCGCUCUGCCAAAACACAGCGACACGCCAGCCUCCGGGGAACAGAUCUGUCUCAGAGAGACCCUGAGCCCAAGAACGAUGCUUCUGAAAUCUCAGGGUAUUAUCAACACAAACCAAACUCUGGCCCGUAAAACCCUCUCCCGGUUCUUUGCUUCAGAAAGGGAGGAGCCCCUUUAUCCUCACAAGCAUGUUCAACUGAACCCACGGUUUCCAACACAGCCAUUCUCCACGAGGGGAUGAUAUUAGCCCAGCAAGACAUCUGGUUGUAUCUGGUGAUAUUUUGGUUAUCACAGCUGAGGGGUGGCAACUUUGUAGGUGAAGGCCAGGGGUAGAGUUCAACACGCUGCAGUAUACAAGGCAAUCUCUGGGACUUCGGGUCACGUUAAGAAAACACCUCAGGGGCUGGGGAUUUAGCUCAGUGGUAGAGCGCUUACCUAGGAAGCACAAGGCCCUGGGUUUGGUCCCCAGCUCCGAAAAAAAGAACAAAAAAAAAAAUAAAAGAAAAAGAAAACACCUCAGCAAAACAACUUCAGUUCAUGGUUUCAGAAGCCAGGGUGGGGAUGUGAAUAGGGUGGCUUACACCAGGGCAGCCAGAGAAAAAGCAUCCCUGAUUUGGUUGGUUUUCUGGUUUUUACCCUUUAAUUCUAUCAAGGACAUGGUGCUGCCCACAGUGGGGGUGUCGCCCUCUUUGUUAACCCUCUUGAAAUGCUCUCCAAUGCGUGAUUGGCUAAUCCGCCAGGCACCUCUCUCUCUUAAUCUUAAUCUCUCUCUUUAAUACUAUACAUAGUAUUCAACCCAGGGUGUCUGUACAGCCAUGACUGGGAACCCUGCUAUAGUGACUUCAACUCACUAUAGUCUCAUGAAGGUGAACUGGUUCAGGUUUUUGCAGCUGACUCCAGA
rnacentral:lncRNA from 1 species